CUGACACACAUACACUGACAGAAAUACUGACACCCACAUACACUGAGAAAUACUGACACACACACACAGGCACAUACACUGACACACACAGACUGAUAUACUGACACACACACACACACACACACACAGACAUACUGGCACACAGACAGAUAUACUGACACAUGCAUACACAUGCACUGACAGACAUACUGACACACACAUAUAUACUGACAC